rnacentral:rRNA from 1 species
GACGAACGCUGGCGGCGUGCUUAACACAUGCAAGUCGAACGAUGAAGCCGGAGCUUGCUCUGGUGAAUUAGUGGCGAACGGGUGAGUAACACGUGAGUAACCUGCCCUUGACUCUGGGAUAACUGCGGGAAACUGUAGCUAAUACCGGAUACGACCCUCGGAGGCAUCUCCUGGGGGUGGAAAGAAUUUCGGUCAAGGAUGGACUCGCGGCCUAUCAGCUAGUUGGUGAGGUAAAGGCUCACAUAGGCGACGGCAGGUAGCCGGCCUGAGAGGGUGACCGGCCACAGUGGGACUGGGACACGGCCCAGACUCCAACGGGAGGCAGGAGUGGGGAAUAUUGCACAGUGGGCGCAAGCCUGAUGCAGCAACGCCGCGUGAGGGAUGACGGCCUUCGGGUUGUAAACCUCUUUUAGCAGGGAAGAAGCGAAAGUGCCGGUACAUGCAGAAAAAGCACCGGCUAACUACGUGCCAGCAGCCGCGGUAA